rnacentral:tRNA from 1 species
GCAGCAGUGGCUCAGUGGUAGAAUUUUCGACUUCCAUGUGGGAGACCCGGGUUCAACUCCUGGCCGAUGCA